UGGGGGAUAUUGCACAAUGGGGGAAACCCUGAUGCAGCGACGCCGCGUGGAGGAAGAAGGUUUUCGGAUUGUAAACUCCUGUCGUUAGGGACGAUAAUGACGGUACCUAACAAGAAAGCACCGGCUAACUACGUGCCAGCAGCCGCGGUAAAACGUAGGGUGCAAGCGUUGUCCGGAAUUACUGGGUGUAAAGGGAGCGCAGGCGGGAAGACAAGUUGGAAGUGAAAACCAUGGGCUCAACCCAUGAAUUGCUUUCAAAACUGUUUUUCUUGAGUAGUGCAGAGGUAGAUGGAAUUCCCGGUGUAGCGGUGGAAUGCGUAGAUAUCGGGAGGAACACCAGUGGCGAAGGCGGUCUACUGGGCACCAACUGACGCUGAGGCUCGAAAGCAUGGGUAGCAAACAGGAUUAGAUACCCUGGUAGUCCAUGCCGUAAACGAUGAUUACUAGGUGUUGGGGGAUUGACCCCCUCAGUGCCGCAGUUAACACAAUAAGUAAUCCACCUGGGGAGUACGACCGCAAGGUUGAAACUCAAAGGAAUUGACGGGGGCCCGCACAAGCAGUGGAGUAUGUGGUUUAAUUCGAAGCAACGCGAAGAACCUUACCAGGUCUUGACAUCCGAUGCAUAACACAGAGAUGUGUGAAAUCCUUCGGGACAUCGAGACAGGUGGUGCAUGGUUGUCGUCAGCUCGUGUCGUGAGAUGUUGGGUUAAGUCCCGCAACGAGCGCAACCCUUAUGGUCAGUUACUACGCAAGAGGACUCUGGCCAGACUGCCGUUGACAAAACGGAGGAAGGUGGGGAUGACGUCAAAUCAUCAUGCCCUUUAUGACCUGGGCUACACACGUACUACAAUGGCGUUAAACAAAGAGAAGCAAGACCGCGAGGUGGAGCAAAACUCAAAAACAACGUCUCAGUUCAGAUUGCAGGCUGCAACUCGCCUGCAUGAAGUCGGAAUUGCUAGUAAUCGUGGAUCAGCAUGCCGCGGUGAAUACGUUCCC
rnacentral:rRNA from 1 species